GACGAACGCUGGCGGCGUGCUUAACACAUGCAAGUCGAACGGUAAGGCCCUUCGGGGUACACGAGUGGCGAACGGGUGAGUAACACGUGGGUGAUCUGCCCUGCACUUCGGGAUAAGCCUGGGAAACUGGGUCUAAUACCGGCUAGGACCAUUGCCUGCAUGGGUGGUGGGGGAAAGCUUUUGCGGUGUGGGAUGGGCCCGCGGCCUAGCAGUUUGUUGGUGGGGUAAUGGCCUACCAAGGCGACGACGGGUAGCCGGCCUGAGAGGGUGACCGGCCACACUGGGACUGAGAUACGGCCCAGACUCCUACGGGAGGCAGCAGUGGGGAAUAUUGCACAAUGGGCGCAAGCCUGAUGCAGCGACGCCGCGUGAGGGAUGACGGCCUUCGGGUUGUAAACCUCUUUCAGCACCGACGAAGCGCAAGUGACGGUAGGUGCAGAAGAAGGACCGGCCAACUACGUGCCAGCCGCCGCUGUAA
rnacentral:rRNA from 1 species